rnacentral:rRNA from 1 species
GUACUGGCAAUCUCGUUGGUGACAGCGGAGGGAUCAUUACCGAGUUUACAACUCCCAAACCCCUGUGAACAUACCUUAAUGUUGCCUCGGCGGAUCAGCCCGCGCCCCGUAAAACGGGACGGCCCGCCAGAGGACCCAAACUCUAAUGUUUCUUAUUGUAACUUCUGAGUAAAACAAACAAAUAAAUCAAAACUUUCAACAACGGAUCUCUUGGUUCUGGCAUCGAUGAAGAACGCAGCAAAAUGCGAUAAGUAAUGUGAAUUGCAGAAUUCAGUGAAUCAUCGAAUCUUUGAACGCACAUUGCGCCCGCUGGUAUUCCGGCGGGCAUGCCUGUUCGAGCGUCAUUUCAACCCUCAAGCCCCCGGGUUUGGUGUUGGGGAUCGGCUCUGCCCUUCUGGGCGGUGCCGCCCCCGAAAUACAUUGGCGGUCUCGCUGCAGCCUCCAUUGCGUAGUAGCUAACACCUCGCAACUGGAACGCGGCGCGGCCAUGCCGUAAAACCCCAACUUCUGAAUGUUGACCUCGGAUCAGGUAGGAAUACCCGCUGAACUUAAGCAUAUCAAUAAGCGGAGGAA